GGGAAUUGUUCGCAAUGGGCGCAAGCCUGACGACGCAACGCCGCGUGGAGGAUGAAGAUCUUCGGGUCGUAAACUCCUUUCGAUCGGGACGAAUGGCCAGUGACCCAAUACGUCAUUGGCGUGACGGUACCGGGUGAGGAAGCCCCGGCUAACUCUGUGCCAGCAGCCGCGGUAAUACAGAGGGGGCAAGCGUUGUUCGGAAUUACUGGGCGUAAAGGGCGCGUAGGCGGCCUGCUAAGUCGAACGUGAAAUCCCCGGGCUCAACCCGGGAACUGCGUCCGAUACUGGCAGGCUUGAAUCCGGGAGAGGGAUGCGGAAUUCCAGGUGUAGCGGUGAAAUGCGUAGAUAUCUGGAGGAACACCGGUGGCGAAGGCGGCAUCCUGGACCGGCAUUGACGCUGAGGCGCGAAAGCCAGGGGAGCAAA
rnacentral:rRNA from 1 species